rnacentral:rRNA from 1 species
AUGAAGUCGGAAUUGCUAGUAAUCGCGGAUCAGCAUGCCGCGGUGAAUACGUUCCCGGGCCUUGUACACACCGCCCGUCACACCAUGGGAGUCGGUAACACCCGAAGCCGAUAGUCUAACGAAAGAGGACGUCGUCGAAGGUGGGAUUGAUGACUGGGGUGAAGUCGUAACAAGGUACC